rnacentral:lncRNA from 1 species
CGAUCUUUGUUUUGGCAUGUAGAAUCUUUAGUUGCAACAUGUGGGAUUUAGUUCCCUGAGCAGGCCCAGGCCCCCUGCAAUGGGGGUUCAGAGUCUAAGCCACUGGACCACCUGGGAAGUCCCUGCUCUAUGUCUUAUUGUUUGUGGCAUCUUAGACAGUCACCUCUUUGAUCCUCAAUUUCCUCAUCUGUAAAAUGGGAUCUCUCACUCAUAUGGUUUGAUGAGAAUUGCAUGAGAUGGACGUGCCAAGCCUAGACCAGUGCCUGGCCCAGGGCAAUCACUUAGACAGUGUGAGUUGUGAUUAUCAUAGUUGGCGCUUGGUAAAUGUUUGUUGAAUGAAUGAGAGAGAACAAUGGCUUAAGCAGCCCCAGUGAUACUCCUAGAGGUGGGAGAUUAGGAGAGGAGCUAAGCUUAAGACUAGCCCCAUGGUUCCAUUGUCUUUGACUGGAAAAUGGGAGUUACGUUCAUUUGCACGAGACUUCAGCUUUAUCAUAAACUACAAAUGAAGCCAUCUGGUCUCCCUGAGAAGCAUCCCACCUGGACAGGCAAGUGUGACCACAAGUUCUGCAGUUGAAUUGGGUGCUGAGGCUGCUGAUUUUCCCCAGUGCGCUUGUCUGCAUGCAGGCGUAUCUAGCAUUCCUGAAGAUUACAUCAUUCCCUCCAGGUGCGGCUAGCCCUGCUGACAGAGAAUGUUCUCCCGGGCAGUUGCAACAACCUGGCACCUGCCAUGGAAGAGCCCAACCAGUGCUCAUAUGCAGCUGUUCAGGAUGUGUGCCAGCCUCGCUGACUCCGGAUGAUGGGCGGAUACAGCUAUCGCCACUGCCUCCCUUGCUCCUGAAUACAGUGGAGCGGCCAGUCUCCCAGUCAGGUGGUGCUGGGUGCCCCAACACCCGAGGAAGGGAUCUCAAAGAUGAAAGUCUGCUUUUUUCUGAACGAAGUACUUCCUGUGGCAGUGGAGCCCCAACUUAGAGUGAGCUGGAUUCCUCUGUGGAGAAGAACAGACAUAGCGCCAUAAGUUCUGAUUGGUAGGUGAGUAGCCAGACCCAGACACUGGGAUCACUAACCAGGUCCUUAGGAGGUGUUUCUCACAGUGUGG